CAAUAGCGUAUAUUAAAGUUGUUGCAGUUAAAAAGCUCGUAGUUGAAUUUCUGUCAGGAGUGACCGGGCCUUUGGAUGAACUUCCAUUGUUUUUUGCUCUGUUUGUCAUCUCUAGACAUCCUGAAAUAUUUUUAAAAAUAUUUCUCUUUUACUGUUAGCAAAAUAGAGUGUUCCAAGCAAAGCGUAGUUUUGAAUACAUUAGAAUGGAAUAAUAAGAUAGGACUUUGGUGCUAUUUUGUUGGUUUGCACACCAAGGUAAUGAUUAAUAGGGACAGUUGGGGGUAUUCGUAUUUAAUUAUCAGAGGUGAAAUUCUUGGAUUUCUGGAAGACGAACUACUGCGAAAGCAUUUACCAAGGAUGUUUUCAUUAA
rnacentral:rRNA from 1 species